GAUGAACGCUGGCGGCGUGCCUAAUACAUGCAAGUCGAGCGAACAGACGAGGAGCUUGCUCCUCUGACGUUAGCGGCGGACGGGUGAGUAACACGUGGAUAACCUACCUAUAAGACUGGGAUAACUUCGGGAAACCGGAGCUAAUACCGGAUAAUAUAUUGAACCGCAUGGUUCAAUAGUUAAAGACGGUUUUGCUGUCACUUAUAGAUGGAUCCGCGCCGCAUUAGCUAGUUGGUAAGGUAACGGCUUACCAAGGCAACGAUGCGUAGCCGACCUGAGAGGGUGAUCGGCCACCCUGGAACUGAGACACGGUCCAGACUCCUACGGGAGGCAGCAGUAGGGAAUCUUACGCAAUGGGCGAAAGCCUGACGGAGCAACGCCGCGUGAGUGAUGAAGGUCUUCGGAUCGUAAAACUCUGUUAUUAGGGAAGAACAAAUGUGUAAGUAACUAUGCACGUCUUGACGGUACCUAAUCAGAAAACCACGGCUAACUCCGUG
rnacentral:rRNA from 1 species